UUUCCGUAGGUGAACCUGCGGAAGGAUCAUUACACGAUUUCGGUUAACACCGUUUUCACCCUUUGUUUAUACGUACCACAUGUUUCCUCGGGGGGCUUGCCUGCCGGUUGGACAUUAUCAAACCUUUUUGUAGUUGCAAUCAGCGUCAGAAACAAAACAAUAAUUACAACUUUCAACAACGGAUCUCUUGGUUCUGGCAUCGAUGAAGAACGCAGC
rnacentral:misc_RNA from 1 species